GGUACUUGUACCUGGUGGCGAGCGGCGGACGGGUGAGUAAUGCCUAGGAAUCUGCCUGGUAGUGGGGGAUAACGCUCGGAAACGGACGCUAAUACCGCAUACGUCCUACGGGAGAAAGCAGGGGACCUUCGGGCCUUGCGCUAUCAGAUGAGCCUAGGUCGGAUUAGCUAGUUGGUGAGGUAAUGGCUCACCAAGGCGACGAUCCGUAACUGGUCUGAGAGGAUGAUCAGUCACACUGGAACUGAGACACGGUCCAGACUCCUACGGGAGGCAGCAGUGGGGAAUAUUGGACAAUGGGCGAAAGCCUGAUCCAGCCAUGCCGCGUGUGUGAAGAAGGUCUUCGGAUUGUAAAGCACUUUAAGUUGGGAGGAAGGGCAGUUACCUAAUACGUAUCUGUUUUGACGUUACCGACA
rnacentral:rRNA from 1 species